AUUGAACGCUGGCGGCAGGCCUAACACAUGCAAGUCGAACGAGUGGCGGACGGGUGAGUAAUGUCUGGGAAACUGCCUGAUGGAGGGGGAUAACUACUGGAAACGGUAGCUAAUACCGCAUACCAUCAGAUGUGCCCAGAUGGGAUUAGCUUGUUGGUGGGGUAACGGCUCACCAAGGCGACGAUCCCUAGCUGGUCUGAGAGGAUGACCAGCCACACGGGACAUGAGACGCGGCCCAGACUCCUACGGGAGGCAGCAGUGGGGAAUAUUGCGCAAGGGGGGCAAGCCUGAGGCAGCCAUGCCGCUGGGAUGAAGAAGGCCUUCGGGUUGUAAAGUACUUUCGGGGGGGAGGCGUUACCCACAGAAGAAGCACCGGCUAACUCCUGGCCAGCAGCCGCGGUAAUUC
rnacentral:rRNA from 1 species